rnacentral:rRNA from 1 species
AUGAACGCUAGCUACAGGCUUAACACAUGCAAGUCGAGGGGCAGCAUGGUCUUAGCUUGCUAAGGCCGAUGGCGACCGGCGCACGGGUGAGUAACACGUAUCCAACCUGCCGUCUACUCUUGGACAGCCUUCUGAAAGGAAGAUUAAUACAAGAUGGCAUCAUGAGUCCGCAUGUUCACAUGAUUAAAGGUAUUCCGGUAGACGAUGGGGAUGCGUUCCAUUAGAUAGUAGGCGGGGUAACGGCCCACCUAGUCUUCGAUGGAUAGGGGUUCUGAGAGGAAGGUCCCCCACAUUGGAACUGAGACACGGUCCAAACUCCUACGGGAGGCAGCAGUGAGGAAUAUUGGUCAAUGGGCGAGAGCCUGAACCAGCCAAGUAGCGUGAAGGAUGACUGCCCUAUGGGUUGUAAACUUCUUUUAUAAAGGAAUAAAGUCGGGUAUGGAUACCCGUUUGCAUGUACUUUAUGAAUAAGGAUCGGCUAACUCCGUGCCAGCAGCCGCGGUAAUACGGAGGAUCCGAGCGUUAUCCGGAUUUAUUGGGUUUAAAGGGAGCGUAGAUGGAUGUUUAAGUCAGUUGUGAAAGUUUGCGGCUCAACCGUAAAAUUGCAGUUGAUACUGGAUAUCUUGAGUGCAGUUGAGGCAGGCGGAAUUCGUGGUGUAGCGGUGAAAUGCUUAGAUAUCACGAGGAACUCCGAUUGCGAAGGCAGCCUGCUAAGCUGCAACUGACAUUGAGGCUCGAAAGUGUGGGUAUCAAACAGGAUUAGAUACCCUGGUAGUCCACACGGUAAACGAUGAAUACUCGCUGUUUGCGAUAUACAGCAAGCGGCCAAGCGAAAGCGUUAAGUAUUCCACCUGGGGAGUACGCCGGCAACGGUGAAACUCAAAGGAAUUGACGGGGGCCCGCACAAGCGGAGGAACAUGUGGUUUAAUUCGAUGAUACGCGAGGAACCUUACCCGGGCUUAAAUUGCAGAUGAAUUACGGUGAAAGCCGUAAGCCGCAAGGCAUCUGUGAAGGUGCUGCAUGGUUGUCGUCAGCUCGUGCCGUGAGGUGUCGGCUUAAGUGCCAUAACGAGCGCAACCCUUGUUGUCAGUUACUAACAGGUUCCGCUGAGGACUCUGACAAGACUGCCAUCGUAAGAUGUGAGGAAGGUGGGGAUGACGUCAAAUCAGCACGGCCCUUACGUCCGGGGCUACACACGUGUUACAAUGGGGGGUACAGAGGGCCGCUACCACGCGAGUGGAUGCCAAUCCCCAAAACCUCUCUCAGUUCGGACUGGAGUCUGCAACCCGACUCCACGAAGCUGGAUUCGCUAGUAAUCGCGCAUCAGCCACGGCGCGGUGAAUACGUUCCCGGGCCUUGUACACACCGCCCGUCACACCAUGGGAGUGGGUUGCAAAAGAAGUAGGUAGCUUAACCUUCGGGAGGGCGCUUACCACUUUGUGAUUCAUGACUGGGGUG